GAUGAAGAACGUAGCGAAAUGCGAUAAGUAAUGUGAAUUGCAGAAUUCAGUGAAUCAUCGAAUCUUUGAACGCACAUUGCGCCCGCCAGUAUUCUGGCGGGCAUGCCUGUUCGAGCGUCAUUUCAACCAUCAAGCCCCCGGCUUGUGUUGGGGACCUGCGGCUGCCGCAGGCCCUGAAAACCAGUGGCGGGCUCGCUGUCACACCGAGCUUAGUAGAUUUUCAUCUCGCUCAGGGCGUGCUGCGGGUUCCGGCCGUAAAAAGCCUUAUUUACCCAAGGUUGACCUCGGAUCAGGUAGGAAGACCCGCUGAACUUAAGCAUAUCAAUAAGCGGAGGA
rnacentral:misc_RNA from 1 species